rnacentral:ncRNA from 1 species
GUUUCGGGGCGGGGUGCAAGUCCCCACCGGCGGUUAAAGUCCGCGAGCGGCUGUUUGAGAGAAUAGCUGUUGAAUCGGUGAAAUUCCGAUACCGACGGUAUAGUCCGGAUGAAAGAACA